rnacentral:sRNA from 1 species
AAAAUGCAAGGUAUCUAACUCCAUAGUGACCCCUUUUGGAGGUCACUAUGGAGUUAGAUACCUUGAAUUUU